GGGGGCGGAGCGACCCGGGAUCGGCGCGAACAGGACGGGCACGCAGGGUCUGAAUGCUGACACCACUAAGUCAGUGGAGCAAGAGUUGUUUCACACCAGUUAAAGAUGGCCCUCACAAAGAAAGUGACUUAACAGCAAAAGACAUACAUUCAGCUUCUACAUACAAACCUUCGAGGAUGAUUGGCAUCAAAUAGUGUUGUAUCAUCAUCAUCAUCAUCUUGCUCUAGUGGUGUCAGCUCCAAGUUUUCUACGUUUGUAUCCAAAACUCCGUAUCUUC